CGGCGUAAGGUGAACCCUGGGCGCGGCGGCGUUCAGCGCAGGGCCUGCGGGCGAGAAAGCAGGCUGGCGGCAGGUUCCUCCUGGCAGGGAAGUUGGCAGGGUGAGGGCUAGAAGCUGAGGAAGUCGGGUGUGCGUGGCGCUGGUGCUGAGGAGACCCGGCCGGGCAGGGUGCGUGGGCAGAGGGGUGCGCGUCGCAGGUCCUCGCCCCUGCUGGCGGGAGGCGGGACUCGGCCACCACCCUGGGGACUUGGGUCCCCCUCGUGGGCGCAGGCUACUCUCCCCCGGCCCGUGCGCUCCGCCCGCGCUUCCGGCGCAGCGGCGUGACAGGAGCCGGGGCUCAGGUGCGGCGGCGCCGGCUGCGUGGACUUCUGAACGGACUCCGGCGGCCCAGGUCUGGGCGCUCUGCGGCUAGGGCUGUCCCGGAGGCGCAGCUGCCCCACCCAGGAUCCUGAACCUCAGGGCCGAAAGGGAGAAGUCGCCCCGCGGGGCGGGACAGGCGCUCUCGGAGCGAGCGGCGAAGGGAGAGUGGCGGCGGCAGAGAGGGUAGAAGAAAUGUGGUCUUUGACUUACUUGUAUCAGUAGAUAUCAACCUUUUUGGUCGCUGGCCAUUGGUCCACAUAGGAUGUCAGUCUGAAGUCACUGGAAGUUUCUGAGUAGAUGAGACCAUGAUCUGACAUAUAUGGAAGAUAGACUCUAGGGAGUUUAACAGUAAGAACAAGGAGACUAUUUAGAUGGCUGUUGCAUAAUCCAGGCAACUGAGUGGAGUUUUUAAUCACAGAGUUGGAGAAGACGGGGAAGGAAACAGUUUCGGGGAGAAAACUCAAGAGUUCAGUUUUGGACUUGGUAAGUCUGAGAUAUUCUAACACAUGCAGCUAACUCACAAUAUAACAGUACAAAUUGUUAAUUAAGCGUUACAUUCUAAGAUUUUGUCUGAAGUCAAUGUCAAACUUCCUGGUGAUUGCAGAAUGAACUUUCAUGGUAAGAUGAAAUUCUAAUUAAUUCUGAAGAAUAGGUUGGACUUACACUGACAGUUUGAACCAGUGGAACUAUUUUAGCAACAA